rnacentral:tRNA from 1 species
GGAGAUUACAGCUCGGUGGUAGAGCAUGUGCUUAGCAUGCAUGAGGUCCUGGGUUCAAUCCCCAGUACCUCCA